UUCAUUGUCAUGUUCUCAUCUGUUAUAAGAAACUUGAUGCUGUACAGGAUUGGACAGCGACGGCAAGCAUCCCGACUACGACUCUGAUGGGAAUUGCUUCCCUAUCGUUAUACCGUCCGGAGAUCGUUACUUUAACGAAUGUCUGCCAUUCACCCGCUCUGCAGCCUCCCCACAUAACACGUCACCUCGGGAACAGUUCAACAUCCUCACCUCCUACGUCGACGCCAGCACCGUCUACGGAGGCUCAGUUGAGGAGGCGGACGAAUUAAGAACCAAAUCAGAUGGUUUGCUGAAAACCACUUCUGGGGGCGACAACCUGCCAACUUCCGACAAGACGUUUUGCCUACAGAGAUCCGGGAAUAAGUGCCCGAA